rnacentral:rRNA from 1 species
UCCAGACUCCUACGGGAGGCAGCAGUGGGGAAUAUUGCACAAUGGGGGAAACCCUGAUGCAGCGACGCCGCGUGAGUGAAGAAGUAUUUCGGUAUGUAAAGCUCUAUCAGCAGGGAAGAAAAAAGACGGCACCUGACUAAGAAGCCCCGGCUAACUACGUGCCAGCAGCCGCGGUAAUACGUAGGGGGCAAGCGUUAUCCGGAUUUACUGGGUGUAAAGGGAGCGUAGACGGCAGCGCAAGUCUGGAGUGAAAUGCCGGGGCCCAACCCCGGAACUGCUCUGGAAACUGUGAAGCUGGAGUGCAGGAGAGGUAAGCGGAAUUCCUGGUGUAGCGGUGAAAUGCGUAGAUAUCAGGAGGAACACCGGCGGCGAAGGCGGCUUACUGGACUGUAACUGACGUUGAGGCUCGAAGGCGUGGGGAGCAAACAGGAUUAGAUACCCUGGUA